rnacentral:lncRNA from 1 species
GCCCGGCAGCCGUACCGCAGACGAGCCCGCGCCCGCGCCGCUCAGAGGCUGAGGGAAGAAAAGAAUAAUUUAAAUGAAAUUUAGUUUCUAUAAAGAAAACGAUUAAAAACAAGAAAUGAGCAUUGACUAUUAGGCACCUGGAUGAAGACUGGGUCCAGAUUGUCAGUCUCCUGUAACCUGCAGAAGCCCUCCAGUUGCACUAGGAACAUUCAAUUGAA